GGGUCUGUAGCUCAGUUGGUUAGAGCGCACCCCUGAUAAGGGUGAGGUCGGUAGUUCAAAUCUACUCAGACCCA
rfam:Psychromonas ingrahamii 37, complete genome.